rnacentral:rRNA from 1 species
GACCAAAGAGGGGGACCUUCGGGCCUCUUGCCAUCAGAUGUGCCCAGAUGGGAUUAGCUAGUAGUGGGGUAACGGCUCACCAAGGCGAUGACGGAUAGCCGACCUGAGAGGGUGACCGGCCACACUGGGACUGAGAUACUGCCCAGACUCCUACGGGAGGCUGCAGUCGAGAAUCUUCCGCAAUGGGGGAAACCCUGACGGAGCGACGCCGCGUGCGGGAUGAAGGCCUUCGGGUUGUAAACCGCUGUCACACGUUAUGAAAGAAACGGAGUUAAAGCUCUGGGUCUUGACAAAGGCGUGGGAGGAAGCCACGGUAACUUCGUGCCAGCAGCCGCGGUAAGACGAAGGUGGCGACCGUUGUUCGGAAUCACUGGGCUAAGAGCUCGUAGGCGGUGAGAAAAGUAGGGGUGUGAAAUCCCUCGGGCCCAAACCCGGAGGGAACUUGGGGCUCUUAAACUGUCUUGCUUGAGGGACCGAAAGGGGGACCCACGGGGGAAAUUCCCUUGGGUUGGGAACCCGGGUGAAAAAUUGGCCGUUGGAUUUUUCCAGGGAGGGAACCAACCGGGGCGGGCCAAACAGGGCGGUGGGAUCCUGGUUCAG